rnacentral:rRNA from 1 species
GCUACGGGAGGCAGCAGUGAGGAAUAUUGGUCAAUGGGCGGAAGCCUGAACCAGCCAAGUCGCGUGCAGGAUGACGGCCCUACGGGUUGUAAACUGCUUUUAUACGGGAAUAACGCGCCUUACGUGUAGGGCUUUGCAUGUACCGUAUGAAUAAGCACCGGCUAAUUCCGUGCCAGCAGCCGCGGUAAUACGGAGGGUCCGGGCGUUAUCCGGAUUUAUUGGGGUUAAAGGGGGCGUAGGCCGGAGGGCCAGGGUGCGGUGAAAUGUCCGGGCCCAACCCGGGCCCUGCAGGGCGAACUGGCGCGCUUGAGUCCGCGGAAAGUAGGCGGAAUGCGUCGUGUAGCGGUGAAAUGCUUAGAUAUGACGAAGAACCCCGAUUGCGAAGGCAGCCUGCUGCAGCGGAACUGACGCUGAUGCUCGAAAGCGCGGGUAUCGAACAGGAUUAGAUACCCCAGUAGUC